GUUUCGUAUCUGUGAUAGAAACUGAAGCGUGAAUUGAAAGUGAAAGUAAAAUCAGCUGUUUCUGUUUAUGUCUGUAUGAAACUCAUUGUUAUGCUACGAGUAAAAGGGAGCGGAAGUAUCUUGAAGAGGAUACAACACUGAGAAGCCUUUGCAGUCGUAUAUGUCUGUGGAUGGGGAAGUAUUGGAGUAAAAUGUCUCGACUAUUCUACCGCUCUGCAUCAUUGAAUUAUGAAGUGAGGGAUCUUUUAAACUACAAUCUGUCCUGCUGUGUUAAUUCUUUGCUUCAGACCUUUUCUGCCACCACUGAACUCCUGGACAUACUGAACAAGUAAAGCUCUAUUGUCUUUU